GCAGGCUGCUCCAGCAGAGCCUCAUGCAUGGCCCAGAGCAUCUGCCCAGAAGAGGGAAUUCUGGGAGGAAAAGUGCAUCUCACUAAGGGAACAAUUAUUCCCCCUACCUCUUUUAUAUAGCUUCAGGGGGACCAGCCUUCCUGAGGAGUGGUCCUUAGCUAUGUGCAUGACUUACAGAGAAAGAGAGAGGCAUGUCUGCAUCAGCGAGAGUUUGUCAUGGCUUACUGUAACCAGAGGAGAGGAAAUAGCAGCCCUCACCAACAUACUGGGCAAUAAUUUCGGGGAGAAAUCAAGGGCAUGAAGAUCUACUUCACAGCAUUCAAACACAUCGCAGGGUUCACUUGGAGACACUGACUAAAGAAAAUGUGACAGAGGACACAUCUCCCCCAUGUACCACCAGAGAGCCAUCUGUGCGGCCAGCUCUGCCACUGCAGUCCAUUCUGAGCCUCAAUCUUUGGGGUCUGCCCAGUUCAGUUUUCCCUCUGGACCUUCUCCCAAAUGAGUCACCCCUAAAUGAGUCAGCAGCCACACUGAGACCCCUCUGCUCAGACCAGUAGACCAGAGGUGGGCCUUCACCUAAGUGGCCUGACCAUCUCUGGGACCAGCAGGACAGAAUCUACUCUGCCUGGUGAUGUCUGGUGGGAGCUGGGGGGCCCUGGCAGCUGUUCUACCAAGCAAAGAGGAGAGGUCCCCCUCUCCAUGUCUUCUAGACUAUUCCUAACACCAGACUUUAUUGUUCUUGCUUGCUAAGAUGCAUCCUAAAUCAGCCUCCACAUGGAAUGUAGGAAGGAUAUCCACUUCAGUUUAGAUAAGUGAUGUGAAAUUUUUCUGUGUAUAUAGCCUAAGAAUUUGCCUAUUUAUUUACUUUUUAGAUAUUUUUUAUUAUAUAGGGGCAUGCUUGUGGAGGCCAGAGGACAACUUGCUGAAGUUGUCUCUCUUUCCAUCAUGUAGGCUCUGGUAGCAACUUCAGACUGCCAAGCCUGGCAGCAAACCCUUAGCUGCUGAGCCAUUCCAGGCCAUCACAUACUUAUGGGAGUUGAAUUGAGUCGGAUACAUAUUAUCUAUCUGUCUGUCUGUCUGUCUGUCUAUCUAUCUACCAUCUAUCUAUAUAUCUAUCAUCUAUCUAUCUACCAGAUUGACCUUGAACUUCUUAAUGGUGGGGUCUCCCUGCCUCAGCCUCCUGAGUGCUGACAUUAUGGGCAUGAGCCACUAUGGCAGGCUCCAGCCCUCUUUUUACUUUUUAUUUUGAGACAGAGUUCCACUUAGUUUUCCAGGUUGACCUGAAGUGAUUCUGUAGCCACACUGGUCUUGAGUUGUGAUCCUCUUGUCCCCACCUCCUAAGAUUACAGGUCUGGACCACAAACCAGGCUCCAAGCAUUUCAUUUUUAAAGUAUAAGUAUAGCUGAGUAUGGUAUUGCCUGCUGUAACCUUCCAUCACUUGUGAGUAUGAGAUGGAACAAUUCCAACCUUAAGGCUAGCCCGGGUUACAUGGGGAGACUCUGUCUCACAAAACUGAAGACUGUAGACAUAGCACGAAAUUAAAAAUACUUUUGCUGCCAUUACUGGAAUGUGCAUAUGCAUGCACUUGUGUGAGCAUGUGUGUGAGUGCAUGCAGGUUACACAUGCAUGUGACUAUGCAGAGUUCAGAGCAGAACUCCCAGUAUCUUCCUGUACCUCUAUCCACCUUAUUGCCUGGCAAUAUGUCUCUCACUGAGAUUCCAGCGUAUUGCCUGGGCUGCUUGGCCAGAGUACUCUUGGGAUCUACCUGCCUUUUUGCCUGCCAUGCCCUGAACAGAGACACCCAUAACCAUUCUGGUUUUGUUUUUGCUUUGUUUUGUUUUUUAACCUCAGUGCUGGGUACCCCAACUCAGGUCCUCAGGUUUGUGGAGGAAGUGAUCUUAGGGGACCUUCUCACCAGCUCCCCCACCUUAUUUUUGAGGCAGGGUCAGUGAACCUGGAGUUUUCUGUUUGGGCUAGAAUACCUCCACAAAUCCAUAGGAUCCACUGUCCCUGACCCACGGAGCUGGAGCUCAGAGGGCACUGCCGCACCCAUCUUUUAUGUGGGUGUUGGAAGGCCUUGCUGGCUGGCCAGAGGCUGUAGUCUCUCAUGGCCUGGCAGCUUUUCCCAAAAGCUUGGCUACAUGGAGUCUCCCUCCCUCCAGCAAAGCUUCCUGCUCUCUACCUACCCUAAUGUGGAGAAUGUCCCUGGGUCCGGAGGACUGACCUUAUCUGAAAGCUAUCUCGAAGCUAGAUGCCUGGUUUACCUUUAGUUUGACCCUUGGCACAGAUUCCUGCUUGAAGACUUGUACUAGGAGAUCUGUUAUAGGACCCUACUGCCACAUAGGAAGCCUUGUGACAAGACCAUGGCACUUAAUGCAAAUCAGGGUUUGUCCCCAGGCUCCCAAUCCUUUAUAUUCCUUAUACUCUGGAAUAAAGUUGAGCUGAUUCACUGAA